rnacentral:rRNA from 1 species
UCGCCUGUUUAUCAAAAACAUGGCUUUAUGGUUUUAUACAAAGUCAGGCCUGCCCAAUGGUUUAUAUUCAAUGGCUGCAGUAUUUUGACUGUACAAAGGUAGCAUAAUCAUUUGCUUCUUAAUUAGGGGCUAGUAUGAAUGGUUUGAUGAGGGGUAGACUUUCUUUUGUAUAUAUAAAGAAUUUAAUUUUUAGGUGAAAAAUCUUAAAUAUAAUUAGAGGACGAGAAGACCCUAUAGAACUUUAUUAUUUGAUGUUUAUAUUAUUUUUGGUUUUUUAUUUUAUUAUAAAUUUUAAAUAAUUAUGUUGGGGUGACAGGAAAAAUUAAUAAACUUUUCUAUUUAUGGUGCAUUUAUGUUUGUUUAGAUCCUUUAUUAAAGAUAAUUAGAUUAAGUUACCUUAGGGAUAACAGCGUUAUUAUUUUUUAGAGUUCUUAUCGAUAAAAUAGUUUGCGACCUCGAUGUUGGAUUAAAAUUAAUAGUGGUGGCAGAUUAUCAUUAUUUAAGUCUGUUCGACUUUUUGAUUUUUACGUGAUCUGAGUUUCAGACC